rnacentral:rRNA from 1 species
CAGCCGCCACGGUAAUACAGAGGGUGCGAGCGUUAAUCGGAUUUACUGGGCGUAAAGCGUGCGUAGGCGGCUUUUUAAGUCGGAUGUGAAAUCCCUGAGCUUAACUUAGGAAUUGCAUUCGAUACUGGGAAGCUAGAGUAUGGGAGAGGAUGGUAGAAUUCCAGGUGUAGCGGUGAAAUGCGUAGAGAUCUGGAGGAAUACCGAUGGCGAAGGCAGCCAUCUGGCCUAAUACUGACGCUGAGGUACGAAAGCAUGGGGAGCAAACAGGAUUAGAUACCCCUUUAGUCCCUGUCUCUUAUAC